CUUCAAUUUUUGUUCAGUUUUGCUUUUUAAAGAUCUCUUGGUGAAAUUUGGCCUUCAGCGCUCCCGAUAAUAGGCAGCAGCAUUUCCUCUUACUCAUUUUGCAACAGCAGCAGGAGAGGUGCCAGAUGGUGGUGCUCCUGACUCCGCAUUACUUAGAGGCGCGAGCUGCCUGAGAGGAGUUACAGAUGCAGUGUGCGUACCAAAACUGAUUUUGCAGGGAGGGCUAAGAGACGUCUCUGCAAUGAAGGUGAAUCAUACAGUGGGAUGGGGGAUGCACUUUUCUCCCAGGAUUCAGCUACUAAGCCUGAUAUCGAAAGAGCUGAAUAACGGCAGCUGAGAAAAAUUCUCAGGAUUUUGCUUGUAUGCGCACGCGCGCACACACACACACUCUCACACUCUCACACUCAAAUUUUACCUUUUUUACACUUUAAUUACUGUGAGUUUUGCAUGUCAACUUUGUUUCAAAAGCUAUAGCUCCUUCCUGUUUUCUG
rnacentral:lncRNA from 1 species